UUGUUUUUUCUGCGCCCAACCAGCUUUCGAAGCUGUGCUCUCGAGUUUGCUGUGAGAGCAGGCGGGGCUGCCGUACUAGGCACGAGAAGCCCUUUGUGAAGUACUCCAGAGGGGUUUUAUAUGGAGUUCUC
rnacentral:lncRNA from 1 species